AUUGAACGCUGGCGGCAUGCUUUACACAUGCGAGUCGAACGGUAACAGGGUGCUUGCACCGCUGACGAGUGGCGAACGGGUGAGUAACGCGUCGGAACGUGCCGAGUAGUGGGGGAUAACGCAGCGAAAGUUGUGCUAAUGCCGCAUACGUACUGAGGUAGAAAGUGGGGGACCUUCGGGCCUCACGCUAUUCGAGCGGCCGACGUCUGAUUAGCUAGUAGGUGAGGUAAAGGCUCACCUAGGCGACGAUCAGUAGCGGGUCUGAGAGGAUGAUCCGCCACACUGGGACUGAGACACGGCCCAGACUCCUACGGGAGGCAGCAGUGGGGAAUUUUGGACAAUGGGCGAAAGCCUGAUCCAGCCAUGCCGCGUGUCUGAAGAAGGCCUUCGGGUUGUAAAGGACUUUUGUCAGGGAGGAAAUCCCUAGUGCUAAUAACACUGGGGGAUGACAGUACCUGAAGAAUAAGCACCGGCUAACUACGUGCCAGCCGCCGCCGUAA
rnacentral:rRNA from 1 species